CCAUCAUUACUCUUUCGUUUCGUCGACCGUACCAAUGGCGAUCAAUCAUUUCUCCUGUCUCCCCGUCCUCAUUACACGCACCUUCGUACACCUUUCUCCUUUACCGCUGUUCGACUACCAUUACUUUCCACCAUCGAAUCCUCGUCACACUACCUAGAAACCACCAUUUUUGACCUCUUCCCCACCCUAAGCCAUCGUCCCUCACAGUCAUUUCCUUCCUCACCCCUCUUAACCGACCACUAUUCCCAACCCAUCACACAUAUCCAC
rnacentral:lncRNA from 1 species